CGUCCCCAAGAACGCUUACUGAAAGGUACUAAAACUUGGGAAAUGAGCAGAGAGAGAGGGAGAACCAAGAGAUCCAACUUGAUUCUCCAUUGAAUGAUUUUAAUUUUUCUGCAACUUUUAAGGGCCAGAACUUUUUCACAAAUGAAAUCUUGCACAGUUCCAACACACAAAGCGGAUACAAGGGAAUUUGCCCUGGUUGAGGCAGGAAGGGGAAGGAGAGAGGAGACUUAUGCCACCCUUCUUGACCCUCAGCUCUCACCAACCAAUCCAGCCUUCCUUGAAAAUGCAGUUUGAAACCCUUGGAUGUCAAACCAGUCUAGUCUCUAGUUCAGAUGAGGCCACAAAUCGAGGGUUUGAGGUUUCCAAGACACUGUGUCCGGACUAAGAUGACACCAGUGUAGGUGACCCGUAGGAAAAGAACGCUGGAUAAACAUCCAAAGACAUAAGUUCUGAUCCUGGCUCUUCCACCAGUUGGCUGAGUGGUCUAGACAGAGUCCCUUGGACUCUCCUACAUAAUGAAACCGAAACUAUAUGACCUCUGAGAGCCUUUCCAGAGCCAACGUUCUUGUCCAAAUUGGCUGAUUUAUGGUGACUGGGAGGGAAGCCUACACAAUUCUCUUAGUGCCCAGGUCCAGACUGGGAGCCUCGCUGCAGGCUCAUGUGGAAAUGGGCAAAUGGAAUGUGCUUUUAGGGGCGCCUGGGUGGCUCAGUUGGUUAAGCGUCUGCCUUCGGCUCAGGUCAUGAUCUCAGGGUCCUGGAAUCAAGCCCCACAUCGGGCUCCCUGCUAAGUGGGGAACCUAUUUCUCCCUCUGCCCUUCCCCCUAUGUAUGCACACUCUUGCUCUCUCUCAAAAAAUAGAUAAAAUCUUAAAAAAAGGCGGGGGGAUAUGUUUAUAGCCAUCUUCUCCUCUGCCCUGUGCUGGUCCUAUGCUGGGUCCUUGUGGCCUCCCCACUACAUUGAACUAUGGGUAGGUACAUGCCCCCCAUGGUCAAUGCCCCCUGCUCUGGUCCCUUUGAUCCUGUGCUCCAGUUCCACAAAAACAUAUCUGACUUCUGUCCUGGGUCUUCAGGCUGACCCUUCCUUCCCGGGCACCAGUUACUUAACAUGUAUGUCAAAGGCACUGAGAAUUCUCUUUCCAAAAUCUGCUGCCUCGUGUGUGACCACCUCUCUCACUUCUUAAUGCCACUGCCACUAUUCCUGGUUUGCAACUCAGCAUACCUGGCUUAUCACUACUGAACGGGUAUCUUAUCUACACAGCACAGCAAACCAAGAACAGUAGGGGAGAACAUAGAUCUUUAAAAGAUAAUUCUGGUGGCGCCUGGGUGGCUCAGUCGGUUAAGUGUCUGCCUUCAGCUCAGGUCAUGAUCCUGGGGUCCUGGAAUCAAGUCCUGCAUCAGGCCUGCUCCGUGCGGGUUCUGCUUCUCCCUCUCCCUCUGCCGCUGUCCCUGCUUGUGUUCUCUCGGGAUCCAGCCCCGCAUCAGGCCUUCUGUUCCGUGCGGGUUCUGCUUCUCCCUCUCCCUCUGCCGCUGUCCCUGCUUGUGCUCUCUCACUUUCUCUCUCUCAAAUAAUCUUUUAAAAAAAGACAAUUCUGUUUUUAAACAAACAAGCAAACAACCCUGUCGUUAAUUUUGCUGAAUAACGUGCAGUUGGGCAGAGUUUUCUGUGUCUAGAGUUAAGAUAGGCAUGAAGUAGUGCCUGACUGGCUCAGUUGGUAGAGCGCAUGACUCUUGAUCUUGAGGCUGUGAGUUCGAGCCCCAUGUUGGGUGUAGAGAUUACUUAAAUAAAAAAACUUGAAGAAAAAAAAAAGAAACA
rnacentral:tRNA from 1 species